rnacentral:rRNA from 1 species
AUACGGAGGGGGUUAGCGUUGUUCGGAAUUACUGGGCGUAAAGCGUACGUAGGCGGAUUAGUAAGUUAGGGGUGAAAUCCCGAGGCUCAACCUCGGAACUGCCUCUAAAACUGCUAGUCUUGAGUUCGAGAGAGGUGAGUGGAAUUCCUAGUGUAGAGGUGAAAUUCGUAGAUAUUAGGAGGAACACCAGUGGCGAAGGCGGCUCACUGGCUCGAUACUGACGCUGAGGUACGAAAGUGUGGGGAGCAAACAGGAUUAGAAACCCCUGUAGUCC